AUUGAACGCUGGCGGCAGGCCUAACACAUGCAAGUCGAACGAGUGGCGGACGGGUGAGUAAUGUCUGGGAAACUGCCUGAUGGAGGGGGAUAACUACUGGAAACGGUAGCUAAUACCGCAUACCAUCGGAUGUGCCCAGAUGGGAUUAGCUAGUAGGUGGGGUAAAGGCUCACCUAGGCGACGAUCCCUAGCUGGUCUGAGAGGAUGACCAGCCACACUGGGACUGAGACACGGUCCAGACGCCUAGGGGAGGCAGCAGUGGGGAAGAUUGCACAAUGGGCGCAAGGCUGAUGCAGCCAUGCCGCGGGUAUGAAGAAGGCCUUCGGGUUGUAAAGUACUUUCAGCGGGGAGGCGUUACCCGUAGAAGAAGCACCGGCUAACUCAGUGCCAGCCGCCGCGGUAAUUC
rnacentral:rRNA from 1 species